AUACGGAGGGGGCGAGCGUUGUCCGGAAUGAUUGGGCGUAAAGGGCGCGUGGGCGGCCCGGUAAGUCUGGAGUGAAAGUCCUGUUUUUAAGAUGGGAAUUGCUUUGGAUACUGUCGGGCUUGAGUGCAGGAGAGGUAAGUGGAAUUCCCAGUGUAGCGGUGAAAUGCGUAGAGAUUGGGAGGAACACCAGUGGCGAAGGCGACUUACUGGACUGUAACUGACGCUGAGGCGCGAAAGUGUGGGGAGCAAACAGGAUUAGAUACCCUGGUAGUCCACACUGUAAACGAUGAAUGCUAGGUGUAGGGGGUAUCGACCCCUUCUGUGCCGCAGUCAACACAAUAAGCAUUCCGCCUGGGGAGUACGGCCGCAAGGUUGAAACUCAAAGGAAUUGACGGGG
rnacentral:rRNA from 1 species